ACCUCGAGAUGAGUGCUCUCC
rnacentral:rRNA from 8 species